rnacentral:lncRNA from 10 species
GCCAUCUUGGCUGAGGGCAAAGACGCUCCUGGCGCUCCCGUCUUUCGGCUUGCCUCAGUUGCCACUGCCAUCUUGGAUCAGGGUAAUUCCCGCCUCUUGGGCGCUCCCGGUUACAACCUCGGCGCCAUCUUGGAUUAGUUCAAUGUAGCCACCCUCUCCAGGCCCGCUGCUUCUGCCAGCUGGAUGUUGCGUCGUCCCUCGCUAUUCGCCCUCCUAUAAUCACUGCUUCCAUGUUGAAUCAAAACAAUUAUGCUUUCGUUCUCCCUUCUUCAAUUGCCCUAUCUUCACACCUGAACACUAUUGCUCCGGUAUCCUGCCAUUUUGGAUCAGGGCGGUUGACGGUGGAUUCACUUCCCAUCAGCCCUUGAGGCUGCAGGGACCAGCCCUUUGGUAGGUGCGCUUUGCUUCCUAACCCGUUGCCGGGUUGGAGAUUCCACCUCCGAAGUUUUCUUUCUGACUUUUGAUUUUACAUUCCUAGUACAGUGGAGAAGCCCAGGCGGCCUAGAAUCCAGUGUCGUCCGUGAGUGCUUGGCUGGUGUUCAAGUGCAUCUUCCAGCCUGAGACCGCGUGGACUCGCUCAUCGUGAGGGCGAGAGGAGGAUAAGCCCAUUGGGCUGUCGGCUGAGAGUGAGGUGCGGGCAGAUUGCUGAUGAAAUCCUUGGCAUCGUCGGAGAUCUCAUCGAAUGCCUCGUCGUCGAAGUCCCAGGUGGCUGAGGUAACGUUGGCCAAGGUUUCGUUAUCGUUGUCUCCCAUGAAGGGGGAAAGGCCACUGACUCUGGAGAGACAAGAGCAGGACAGCAGGUGUGGCUAGGAGAGGGCGCGACGACCAGAUGAGGGAAUUGAGGCACAGCCCAGGCUCAAGUCACCUGCCCAAAGAUUCACAGCCAGUGAGAUUGGAAGCCAGGUAUCUGCCUCUAGAGCCUGUCCUCUUAAAUGCUAUACUAUCCUAACAUUUCUGUAAAGAUGAAGUAAAUUGCAGUGUUCAGCACUGGCACCAGGCCUGGUCCACAGUAAGGAGGCGGUCCAUGCCCGGAGAUCUCAUGCAGUUCUGCUGGGUUCCCUCCACUGCCUUACCAAGCUGUGAGUGCAGGAAUGACUUUGUGACCAGCAGCUUAAGCCAAAUAAACUUUAUAAGGUAAAGAAUUUCAAAACAAAAUAGAGCAGAUUUGUGGCUUACUGACCUUACCUCUCACCUCUGUGCACCUCACCUUCAUAGCAACAACUCACCCCACUGUUCAUGAGGGCCUUGUGAGUCAGCCUCAUGGGUGUUAGACCAGCACAGUUGCCCACAGUCCCACCCUUAGACAGGCCCUGUGCUUGGUUUAAUGCUCUGCUGCUGUCGUCUCAAGAUUCUCAAUAAGGUUUGAACAAGUGGCCCCACCUUUCAUGUUGCAAAUUGUGUAGCUGUUCCUGCCCUGAUCUCAGCUGAGCCCCAUGAGAUGGGUCUGGGGGCCAGGCGUGGUGGCUCAUGCCUGUAAUCCCAGCACUUUGGGAGGCCAAAAUGGAUGGAUCACCUGAGGUCAGGAGUUUGAGGCUAGCCUGGCCAACACGGUGAAGUCCUGUCUCUACUAAAAAUACAAAAAUUAGCUGGGCAUGGUGGCAAGCACCUGUAAUCCCAGCUACUCGGGAGGCUGAGGCAGGAGAAUUGCUUGAACCCUGGAGGUGGAGGUUGCAGUGAGCCAAUAUCGCACCAUUGCACUCCAACCUGGGCAACAAGCGAAACUCAAUCUCAAAAAAAAAAAAAAAAAGAGAGAUGGGUCUGGGGCCCUCCUGCCAUCAACCUGUCAAGUUAGGGCUUUACCAAUGUCCCUUCUCCCAAAUGCUUAUGAAUCCAUCAUCAUAAGCCAAGCACUGACAGCUU